UAUGACAUGCCAAGACUUUCCUCAGAAUAA
rnacentral:piRNA from 1 species